rnacentral:rRNA from 1 species
GCGAGUUACGAUUUGAUGCAAGGUUAAGCAGUAAAUGUGGAGCCGUAGCGAAAGCGAGUCUGAAUAGGGCGUUUAGUAUUUGGUCGUAGACCCGAAACCAGGUGAUCUACCCUUGGUCAGGUUGAAGUUCAGGUAACACUGAAUGGAGGACCGAACCGACUUACGUUGAAAAGUGAGCGGAUGAACUGAGGGUAGCGGAGAAAUUCCAAUCGAACCUGGAGAUAGCUGGUUCUCUCCGAAAUAGCUUUAGGGCUAGCCUCAAGUGAUGAUUAUUGGAGGUAGAGCACUGUUUGGACGAGGGGCCCCUCUCGGGUUACCGAAUUCAGACAAACUCCGAAUGCCAAUUAAUUUAACUUGGGAGUCAGAACAUGGGUGAUAAGGUCCGUGUUCGAAAGGGAAACAGCCCAGACCACCAGCUAAGGUCCCAAAAUAUAUGUUAAGUGGAAAAGGAUGUGGCGUUGCCCAGACAACUAGGAUGUUGGCUUAGAAGCAGCCAUCAUUUAAAGAGUGCGUAAUAGCUCACUAGUCGAGUGACACUGCGCCGAAAAUGUACCGGGGCUAAACAUAUUACCGAAGCUGUGGAUUGUCCUUUGGACAAUGGUAGGAGAGCGUUCUAAGGGCGUUGAAGCAUGAUCGUAAGGACAUGUGGAGCGCUUAGAAGUGAGAAUGCCGGUGUGAGUAGCGAAAGACGGGUGAGAAUCCCGUCCACCGAUUGACUAAGGUUUCCAGAGGAAGGCUCGUCCGCUCUGGGUUAGUCGGGUCCUAAGCUGAGGCCGACAGGCGUAGGCGAUGGAUAACAGGUUGAUAUUCCUGUACCACCUAUAAUCGUUUUAAUCGAUGGGGGGACGCAGUAGGAUAGGCGAAGCGUGCGAUUGGAUUGCACGUCUAAGCAGUAAGGCUGAGUAUUAGGCAAAUCCGGUACUCGUUAAGGCUGAGCUGUGAUGGGGAGAAGACAUUGUGUCUUCGAGUCGUUGAUUUCACACUGCCGAGAAAAGCCUCUAGAUAGAAAAUAGGUGCCCGUACCGCAAACCGACACAGGUAGUCAAGAUGAGAAUUCUAAGGUGAGCGAGCGAACUCUCGUUAAGGAACUCGGCAAAAUGACCCCGUAACUUCGGGAGAAGGGGUGCUCUUUAGGGUUAACGCCCAGAAGAGCCGCAGUGAAUAGGCCCAAGCGACUGUUUAUCAAAAACACAGGUCUCUGCUAAACCGUAAGGUGAUGUAUAGGGGCUGACGCCUGCCCGGUGCUGGAAGGUUAAGAGGAGUGGUUAGCUUCUGCGAAGCUACGAAUCGAAGCCCCAGUAAACGGCGGCCGUAACUAUAACGGUCCUAAGGUAGCGAAAUUCCUUGUCGGGUAAGUUCCGACCCGCACGAAAGGCGUAACGAUUUGGGCACUGUCUCAACGAGAGACUCGGUGAAAUCAUAGUACCUGUGAAGAUGCAGGUUACCCGCGACAGGACGGAAAGACCCCGUGGAGCUUUACUGUAGCCUGAUAUUGAAAUUCGGCACAGCUUGUACAGGAUAGGUAGGAGCCUUUGAAACGUGAGCGCUAGCUUACGUGGAGGCGCUGGUGGGAUACUACCCUAGCUGUGUUGGCUUUCUAACCCGCACCACUUA